CUACGUGCCAGCAGCCGCGGUAAUACGUAUGUCACAAGCGUUAUCCGGAUUUAUUGGGCGUAAAGCGCGUCUAGGUGGUUAUGUAAGUCUGAUGUGAAAAUGCAGGGCUCAACUCUGUAUUGCGUUGGAAACUGCAUGACUAGAGUACUGGAGAGGUAAGCGGAACUACAAGUGUAGAGGUGAAAUUCGUAGAUAUUUGUAGGAAUGCCGAUGGGGAAGCCAGCUUACUGGACAGAUACUGACGCUAAAGCGCGAAAGCGUGGGUAGCAAACAGGAUUAGAUACCCUGGUAGUCCACGCCGUAAACGAUGAUUACUAGGUGUUGGGGGUCGAACCUCAGCGCCCAAGCUAACGCGAUAAGUAAUCCGCCUGGGGAGUACGUACGCAAGUAUGAAACUCAAAGGAAUUGACGGGGACCCGCACAAGCGGUGGAGCAUGUGGUUUAAUUCGAUGCAACGCGAAGAACCUUACCUACUCUUGACAUCCAGAGAAUUCGCUAGAGAUAG
rnacentral:rRNA from 1 species